ACCCGCCGUCUCUGCCGCGUGGAGUGUGUCCCCUGCACCCGCACCCCCUGCACCACGCGCUUUACGUGCCGCGGCCCGGGUGCCAGUGCCCCGGGCCGCCGCGGGGCUCGCUCGCAGUGUGGGCCGUGCACCAGGCCAGGUCUGCCCAGCAGCUCGCGCCCAGGCAGGUGGAACCAGACGGCACAGCUCCGGCCCCAGGUGGACUCAACGCGCGGGCUGGGGGUGCGCAGCCGCCCGGCUUGCUCCUGGGGCCCAGGGCAGGGUCGGGGGGCGCUCCCCACUCACCAUCGUCCGCCCCGUUGUGGGGGUCCACAUCUUCCUUCAUUUCCUCCUUCAUCUCUUCUUCAAUGACCACUUUUCCUGUGGGGCGACAGCUGACGUUUACCAAAACGGUGGGAGACGCGGCCCUGCCCAGCGCUGCGGACGGCUCAGGCCGGGGACGGCUGUGUGUGUGCUUCUCAGCUGCCGCCAGGCCGCUUUUAAAGAGAGCCCAUUGUUCUUGAACAAGUUCCCGCCAGUCCCCAAGACUCCCCAGACCUCCCAGUCCACCUGGGCCAAGAAGCACCCCGCCAGCAGCCCUCACUCCUCCCCGAGGCUCGUGACCUUCGCCCGACGCCACCGCCCUCGGCCCACGUCCUCCUUAAUUCCCGAACCUGACCCGCCCGAGUCUCACCUUCUCGGACUUCGUGAAUUAUUUCUUCCGGAAGGACGAAGUUCCUCUCUGGAUUUGGGAAUGGAAGAAUCUCAGAUUCGUGCUGACGGCAAGUAGGGCGAUUUUUUAAAGAAACAAAGAAAAAAAUGUGAUUUUAGUAAGUCACCAAAAACGUGUAAGAGCCAACUUAGGAGCACCUGAGGAGCAAGCACACGGCCGGUCCCCGAGAGCCGAGGGGGAGGGCACCAGCGGGGUGAGGACACUUCCUUCUUUCUGCCGGCAGUCUACCAGGAGCUGGGCUUCUCCAACAGGCCGCAGAAGCAAGGCUAUGGCUCUAGCCACCAGGAGUCCAGCCACCAGGAGUCGUCACCUGACCCGAGGCUGGGGCAGCCCCACUUCCCAGCAUGCCGUCCCUACCCCCAGGGCAAAAGCAGGCUACGGCUGUCCUGCUGACCUGUCCUACUCCCUCCCCAGAAGAUGACAGUGACAGUGAAGCCCGCAGACACGGAGGGUGCCGGACGGGAAAGCUACUGCCUCGGAAACCAGGGUGCUUCCUCCAGGCCGGGCAGUCAGUCCCCAGGGCACGGCUGUCACCCUCAUCUCCUUCCAAGAGUAAGACAAAGAGCUGCGAACCACCUGCCCAAACCCACAGGAAGCAAGGGUGGCACCACGUUUGGGCAAGGAAGGCCUCAGCUGGGAGGGCUGGCGUGGCCCUAAGUCAGCCGGGGGGGCAGAGACUCACCCCUGCCCCGGCACAAGUGCCUACCCCUUUGCUUGCCUGUAGCUCCCGCUGCCCCCCAGCCCCAGGGGUCCACACCUCCUCUGAGCUCCUCGACCCCCCAUCGCCUGCUGCCACAGAGCCCUGACGCCUGCUGUUCCUCUGCGGGGAAUGUCUACUGUCUCCUCUGGCCAUCCUGGCUUCCCAGUUGACCUGCCUGCCUUUCGAUGAAACUGCCCGGGGGUUCUGUGGCGACAGGGCCCCGGCCUGCCUGGUGCCCACAGAAGCCACCAUAUUCACCUGAAUGUGACUCGGAUCCAGUCACCUUUCUGCCUGGCGCGCCGUGGGGCCUCCCGUGUGACUGCCGGGGCCUCACGCCUCCUCCACGGUCCUCAGCUCCGCCCUUAUCUCCCCGGAGAGACUUUUGCUAACCACCCCACAUAAAGAAGGCUCCUGGAGAGCAACCA